rnacentral:rRNA from 1 species
UACGUAGGGAGCGAGCGUUGUCCGGAUUCAUUGGGCGUAAAGAGCUCGUAGGCGGUUUGAUAAGUCGGAUGUGAAACCUCCAGGCUCAACCUGGAGUCGCCAUCUGAUACUGUCAUGACUAGAGUCCGGUAGGGGCCCACGGAACUCCUGGUGUAGCGGUGAAAUGCGCAGAUAUCAGGAAGAACACCGGUGGCGAAGGCGGUGGGCUGGGCCGGCACUGACGCUGAGGAGCGAAAGCGUGGGGAGCGAACAGG